rnacentral:rRNA from 1 species
GAUGAACGCUGGCGGCGUGCCUAAUACAUGCAAGUCGAGCGAACGGACGAGAAGCUUGCUUCUCUGAUGUUAGCGGCGGACGUGUGAGUAACACGUGGAUAACCUACCUAUAAGACUGGGAUAACUUCGGGAAACCGGAGCUAAUACCGGAUAAUAUUUUGAACCGCAUGGUUCAAAAGUGAAAGACGGUCUUGCUGUCACUUAUAGAUGGAUCCGCGCUGCAUUAGCUAGUUGGUAAGGUAACGGCUUACCAAGGCAACGAUGCAUAGCCGACCGGAGAGGGUGAUCGGCCACGCUGGAACUGAGACACGGUCCAGAGUCCUACGGGAGGCAGCAGUAGGGAAUCUUACGCAAUGGGCGAAAGCCUGACGGAGCAACGCCGCGUGAGUGAUGAAGGUCUUCGGAUCGUAAAACUCUGUUAUUAGGGAAGAACAUAUGUGUAAGAAACUGUGCACAUCUUGACGGUACCUAAUCAGAAAGCCACGGCUAACUACGUG